rnacentral:rRNA from 1 species
UACGUAGGACCCAAGCGUUAUCCGGAAUUACUGGGCGUAAAGAGUUGCGUAGGUGGCAAGUUAAGCGGGUAGUGAAAUCGUGUGGCUCAACCAUACAAACAUUGCCUGAACUGACUCGCUAGAGUGUGAUAGAGGUUAUUGGAAUUCCCAGUGUAGGAGUGAAAUCCGUAGAUAUUGGGAGGAACACCGAUGGCGUAGGCAGAUAACUGGAUCAUAACUGACACUAAGGCACGAAAGCGUGGGGAGCAAACGGG